AUACGGGGGGUGCAAGCGUUAUUCGGAAUUAUUGGGCGUAAAGGGCGCGUAGGCGGUCUUGUCGGUCAGAUGUGAAAGCCCGGGGCUCAACCCUGGAAGUGCAUUUGAAACAGCAAGACUUGAGUACGGGAGAGGAGAGCUGAAUUCCUGGUGUAGAGGUGAAAUUCGUAGAUAUCAGGAGGAACACCGAUGGCGAAGGCAGCUCUCUGGACCGAUACUGACGCUGAGGCGCGAAGGCGUGGGUAGCGAACAGGAUUAGAAACCCCGGUAGUCC
rnacentral:rRNA from 1 species